UUUAAAGUCUAACCUGCCCAUGAGGAGUUUAAUGGCCGCGGUAAUUUGACCGUGCAAAGGUAGCAUAAUCAUUAGUUUUUUAAUUGAAAGCUGGUAUGAACGGUUGGACGAGAAAACUACUGUCUCAAGCUGAGUUUUUGUAGAACUUUAUUUUUAAGUUAGAAAGCUUAAAUAUUUUUAAAAGACGAGAAGACCCUAUAGAGUUUAAUAUUUUAAAAUGUAUAAUAUUUAUAGCAUUAUUGGAAUUUUACAUUUUAAAAUAUUUUGUUGGGGCGACAGAAAAACUAAAUUAACUUUUUUUUUAUUAGAUCAUUGAUUUAUGAGUGUUUGAUCCAUUUAAGUAUGAUUACAAGAUUAAAUUACCUUAGGGAUAACAGCGUAAUUUUUUUUGAGAGUUCUUAUCGAAAAAAGAGUUUGCGACCUCGAUGUUGGAUUAAAAUUUGCUUUUGGUGGAGGAGCUAAAAAGCUAGGUCUGUUCGACCUUUGAAAUUUUACAUGAUCUGAGUUUAAACCGGUGUGAGCCAGGUUGGUUUCUAUCUUUAAAAUAUAUAUUCACUUUAGUACGAAAGGACCGAGUGAGUACAAAAUUUGUUAACAAUUGAAUUUUAUUAAUA
rnacentral:rRNA from 1 species